rnacentral:rRNA from 1 species
GGAUUAGAUACCCUGGUAGUCCACGCCGUAAACGAUGUCUACUAGUUGUUGGUUCCCUUGAGGAAUUAGUGACGCAGCUAACGCAUUAAGUAGACCGCCUGGGGAGUACGGUCGCAAGAUUAAAACUCAAAUGAAUUGACGGGGGCCCGCACAAGCGGUGGAGCAUGUGGUUUAAUUCGAAGCAACGCGAAGAACCUUACCUACUCUUGACAUCCAGAAAACUUAGCAGAGAUGCUUUGGUGCCUUCGGGAAUUCUGAGACAGGUGCUGCAUGGCUGUCGUCAGCUCGUGCCG